CACGUAGGGUGCGAGCGUUGUCCGGAAUUAUUGGGCGUAAAGAGCUCGUAGGCGGUUUGUCGCGUCGGCUGUGAAAACCUAGGGCUCAACUCUGGGCUUGCAGCCGAUACGGGCAAACUAGAAUUCGGUAGGGGAGACUGGAAUUCCAGGUGUAGCGGUGAAAUGCGUAGAUAUCUGGAGGAACACCGGUGGCGAAGGCGGCAUCCUGGACCAACACUGACACUGAGGAGCGAAAGCCAGGGGAGCAAACGGG
rnacentral:rRNA from 1 species